CAGCGGAGGGAUCAUUACCGGAGUUUACAACUCCCAAACCCAUUGUGAACUUAUACCCAAAACGUUGCCUCGGCGGACACAGCGGUACCCGAGCCCCCGCAAGGGAGCAAAGGCGCCCCGUCCGCCAGGGGACCAAAACUCUUCUGUAUACCCAUAGCGGCAUGUCUGAGUGGAUUUAAAAACAAAUGAAUCAAAACUUUCAACAACGGAUCUCUUGGUUCUGGCAUCGAUGAAGAACGCAGCGAAAUGCGAUACGUAAUGUGAAUUGCAGACUUCAGUGAAUCAUCGAAUCUUUGAACGCACAUUGCGCCCGCCAGUAUUCUGGCGGGCAUGCCUGUUCGAGCGUCAUUUCAACCCUCAAGCCCUGCUUGGUGUUGGGGACCGGCUCAGCGGGUGCGGGCUUCGGCCCGCCCCGUGCCGCCCCCGAAAUGGAUCGGCGGUCUCGUCGCAGCCUUCUUUGCGUAGUAACAUACCACCUCGCAACAGGAGCGCGGCGCGGCCACUGCCGUAAAACGCCCAACUUUUUAGAGUUGACCUCGAAUCAGGUAGGAAUACCCGCUGAACUUAAGCAUAUCAAU
rnacentral:rRNA from 1 species